rnacentral:rRNA from 1 species
UGAACGCUGGCGGAAUGCUUUACACAUGUAAGUCGAACGGCAGCACGGGGGCAACCCUGGUGGCGAGUGGCGAACGGGUGAGUAAUAUAUCGGAACGUGCCCAGUCGUGGGGGAUAACGUAGCGAAAGUUACGCUAAUACCGCAUACGAUCUACGGAUGAAAGCGGGGGAUCGCAAGACCUCGCGCGAUUGGAGCGGCCGAUAUCAGAUUAGGUAGUUGGUGGGGUAAAGGCUCACCAAGCCAACGAUCUGUAGCUGGUCUGAGAGGACGACCAGCCACACUGGGACUGAGACACGGCCCAGACUCCUACGGGAGGCAGCAGUGGGGAAUUUUGGACAAUGGGCGCAAGCCUGAUCCAGCCAUUCCGCGUGCAGGACGAAGGCCUUCGGUUGUAACUGCUUUGUACGGACGAAAAGACCUUGGCUAAUACCCAGGGUCCAUGACGGUACCGUAAGAAUAAGCACCGGCUAACUCUGUGCCAGCAA